UUAAUUUUUAUAGAAACAUCUGUCGAAACUACGACAGUUACAUUUCAAAACAAACAUAGAAACCUCAAACAAAAUUAUCGUUCUUUCAUUCGGUCUUGCGAUGCAAAUACGUUUCAGCUUAUAGGAGGACAUAGUACGAAAAAAGCUAUUGACAUUAGGUACCUAAACUCAACUGGAUUGUUUUAAGAAAGUUCAUGGUAGGCCCUCUGAGCACCAGUGUUGGGCAGCCCUUCGUAGCAUCAAGACGUUUCUGUGCAUUUCACUAUGUCAGAUUCUUCUAGUGAAGAUGAAUAUAUUAAUAUGGUAAAUAAAAGCUUACUUACUGUAUCACUAUAGAAAGGAACAAAUCAAGAUUUUGGAUCAAUUAUCACAGUCGAUCAAGGAAAAGGAACGAAUGUACAGCGAUUUGCAAGACAACUCCGUUCAAAACUAGUUUUCCAGAGCAUCCGCAGCAGACUCUGCUCUACAUUACUCAUUUGCAGUGGAACUCGCUCACUCCGCUCCACUCGUCUCCGCUUUGAUGGAAGCACAUGUAUGAAAAUUAUCGUUACGAGUAUAAUAGAUUCCGUAAUGGGUCCGUUCCGCUAGCAGUGGAAAGCGGUCAUAAAACCGUUAAGGAGCCGUAACUAUUGUAAAUUCUAAACUAUUGAUUUAUUACACUACAUUAGCGAAU